rnacentral:sRNA from 1 species
AGAAAGCGCAAGGGAUCGCAGCGGAAAUCCUUUGCAAAGCAAAGAUUGGAGCGUAGAGCCCGGUUGCGA